GACGAACGCUGGCGGCGUGCUUAACACAUGCAAGUCGAACGGAAAGGCCCUGCUUUUGUGGGGUGCUCGAGUGGCGAACGGGUGAGUAACACGUGAGUAACCUGCCCUUGACUUUGGGAUAACUUCAGGAAACUGGGGCUAAUACCGGAUAGGAGCUCCUGCUGCAUGGUGGGGGUUGGAAAGUUUCGGCGGUUGGGGAUGGACUCGCGGCUUAUCAGCUUGUUGGUGGGGUAGUGGCUUACCAAGGCUUUGACGGGUAGCCGGCCUGGGAGGGGGACCGGGCACCAUGGGACUGAGAGACGGCCCAGACUGCUACGGGGGGCAGCAGGGGGGAAUAUUGCACAAUGGGGGGGAGCCUGAUGCAGCAACGCCGCGUGCGGGAAGACGGCCUUCGGGGUGUAAACCGCUUUCGCCUGUGACGAAGCGUGAGUGACGGUAAUGGGUAAAGAAGCACCGGCUAACUACGUG
rnacentral:rRNA from 1 species